rnacentral:rRNA from 1 species
UAACCUGCCCAAGAGAUCGGGAUAACACCUGGAAACAGAUGCUAAUACCGGAUAACAACAGAUGAUGCCUAUCAACUGUUUAAAAGAUGGUUCUGCUAUCACUCUUGGAUGGACCUGCGGUGCAUUAGCUAGUUGGUAGGGUAACGGCCUACCAAGGCGAUGAUGCAUGGCCGAGUUGAGAGACUGAUCGGCCACAUUGGGACUGAGACACGGCCCAAACUCCUACGGGAGGCAGCAGCU